rnacentral:lncRNA from 1 species
GGGAUAUUGAAGCAGAUUAAAAGUCCUUAUGAGAAUCCAGCUAUCCUCCAGCAAACCAGUUAUGAGAUUUGCAAAAGGGACGUAAGGACGCUACCCCGGCUCUGUCUGCUGACCUCCUGGGCCGGGUUUUCCAGCUGCACGGAUCCUCUCCAGCCAAACAGCGACGCCAGGGAAACUGAGUCAGAGGAGAGGGAUUCAGAGCUGGUUCCCGUGCCAGCCCCACUACCUCCUAGUAGCGCAAUCUUGGGUAAGUCACUCAACUUCUCUGAUGGCCUCUGGUUCCGGCAUCUAGAGAGAGAAGGGACGACCCACGGUGGUGACCUCCUCGCCUGCAGCUGUGCUGGGCUCCAUCUUGCUGGUCCGUCCCUGCUUCUGCAGGACGAGGGCCCUUUCCCUGGGCAGCAGCAGACAGACUUGACGGCUGCAGGACAACGGAUUCCCAGACUUCGCUGCCGACGGUGACGUCAGCUCCCAGGGGCUGCCGUUGUUCCCAGUCCCGGGGUUUGCGUUUUGAGAACCACGGACGGGGACCUUCGAG